GACGAACGCUGGCGGCGUGCUUAACACAUGCAAGUCGUACGGUAAGGCCCUUUCGGGGGUCCACGAGUGGCGAACGGGUGAGUAACACGUGAGUAACCUGCCCACAACUUUGGGAUAACGCUAGGAAACUGGUGCUAAUACUGGAUAUGUGCUCCUGCUGCAUGGUGGGGGUUGGAAAGCUCCGGCGGUUGUGGAUGGACUCGCGGCCUAUCAGCUUGUUGGUGGGGUAGUGGCCUACCAAGGCGGCGACGGGUAGCCGGCCUGAGAGGGUGACCGGCCACAUUGGGACUGAGAGACGGCCCAGACGCCUACGGGAGGCAGCAGUGGGGAAUAUUGCACAAUGGGCGCAAGCCUGAUGCAGCAACGCCGCGGGCGGGAGGACGGCCUUCGGGUUGUAAACCGCUUUCAGCAGGGACGAAGCUUUUUGUGACGGUACCUGCAGAAGAAGCACCGGCUAACUACGUG
rnacentral:rRNA from 1 species